UGGGGAAUCUUGCACAAUGGGGGCAACCCUGAUGCAGCGACGCCGCGUGAGCGAUGAAGCCCUUCGGGGCGUAAAGCUCUUUCGACCGGAACGAUAAUGACGGUACCGGGAGAAGAAGCUGCGGCUAACUACGUGCCAGCAGCCGCGGUAAUACGUAGGCAGCAAGCGUUGUUCGGAGUUACUGGGCGUAAAGAGUGCGUAGGCGGUUUUCUAAGUUCGGUGUGAAAUCUCCCGGCUUAACUGGGAGGGUGCGCCGAAGACUGGGAAGCUGGAGUGUGGGAAAGGCAGGCGGAAUUCCUGGUGUAGCGGUGAAAUGCGUAGAUAUCAGGAGGAACACCGGCGGUGUAGACGGCUUGCUAGACCACAACUGACGCUGAGGCACGAAAGCGUGGGUAGCAAACA
rnacentral:rRNA from 1 species